rnacentral:rRNA from 2 species
AGAUGUGAUCAUACCAGCACUAAAGCAUUGUAUCCAGUCAGAACACCGAAGUUAAUCGUCCUUGGGCGAGAGUAUUACUAGGAUGGGUGACCUCCUGGGAAGUCCUCGUGUUGCAUUCC